GACGAACGCUGGCGGCGUGCCUAACACAUGCAAGUCGAACGGAAAGGCGCUGCUCUUGUGGGGUGCUCGAGUGGCGAACGGGUGAGUAACACGUGAGUAACCUGCCCUUGACUUUGGGAUAACUUCAGGAAACUGGGGCUAAUACCGGAUAGGACCUCCUGCUGCAUGGUGGGGGUUGGAAAGUUUCGGCGGUUGGGGAUGGACUCGCGGCUUAUCAGCUUGUUGGUGGGGUAGUGGCUUACCAAGGCUUUGACGGGUAGCCGGCCUGAGAGGGUGACCGGCCACAUUGGGACUGAGAUACGGCCCAGACUCCUACGGGAGGCAGCAGUGGGAAAUAUUGCACAAUGAGCGGAAGCCUGAUGCAACAACGCCGCGUGCGGGAUGACGGCCUUCGGGUUGUAAACCGCUUUCGCCUGUGACGAAGCGUGAGUGACGGUAAUGGGUAAAGAAGCACCGGCUAACUACGUG
rnacentral:rRNA from 1 species